UGAAGUCUAGUUUUGAAAAAGAUCCUUCCAUUCAAGAGAACUUCAGAGGAAAGUGGAUAUCAAACUAGAAAGGACUUUCCUAGAGGACCUCUAGUUUUGACCGAGAUGGACGGCAAAGAAUCUACCUAAUCCUGUGAAUUCGAAUUCAAUUAAGAAAUACUUCAUUUUAAAAAAAAGAAAAAUGUAAAAUGCAAAAUAAAACGAAAAAGGAAAAAGCAACGAAGAGAAAGAAAAGAAAGAAAAAGAAAAGAAAAAGAAAAAGGAGAGGCUAGGGUAAAAACUCG
rnacentral:lncRNA from 1 species